rnacentral:rRNA from 1 species
AUGGUUGCCGCCGCCGCUCGUGUCUUUCUUCCCGCAGCCUCCUGCGGGACGAUGCCUCCCCAUCCUCCAUUAGUCGCCGCUGUGGGAUGUGGUUCUGGACCGGUCCCAGGUCGCUGCCGAGGAGCAGAGGAGGACGAUCGUGGGGGGAAGGAGCAGAGGAGGACGUCACUGGGAAGGUGCAGCGAGCCUCCCCAUCCUCCAUUAGCCGCCGCUGUGGGAUGUGGUUCUGGACCGGUCCCAGGUCGCUGCCGAGGAGCAGAGGAGGACGACAGCGAGGGGAAGGAGCAGAGGAGGACGUCACUGGGGAAGGUGCAGCGAGCCCGAAGGUCCAGACGGCGCCCUCGUCAUGUGCCGGAUGCUGCUCGCCAGCCCUCUUUGUCGUCCUCAAUCUAG